UUAUUUAAUCUCUCACGCCUCUUGCUCACCCAAAAAAAUCUCUCACGCCUCACUCUUCUGUGUCUCUUCUCUGUCACGCCUCACCCCUCUGCCCUCCUCUCUGUUACUGGAGCACCACCGCGGUUAGACGAGCACACCGCAAGGGUUACAGAAGCACCACCGUCGCUUUGUCUCGGGUAGUUUCCGUAUGUUUAGCAAUGAAGAUGUUACGAUUGGUGCAUGGAUGCUUGCAAUGAAUGUCAACCAUGAGGACAACCGACAACUUUGUGAACCAGAAGGUACUCCAUCAUCUAUUGCUGUUUGGGAUAUUCCAAAGUGUUCAGGUUGGUAAUUAACUAAUUAUUCUCAUGGUUGGGAUGCGUGUUCUCUUAGAAACAGCCUCCAUAUGCUGAAAUCUAAUAAAAUCCCACCUUGGAGAAAGAGGAAAAAUAAAGGAAAUAAUUUAUCAAGAAUUUUAACAAGGCCCCUCAAAACCCACUGAUUGACUCAAAGAAGUUAGAAAGGAUAAAAAGUUGAUGUGGCAUGGGAGAUAGACAUUCUGUAUUAAUGAAAUUGUUUUGUUAUGUUGCGGCAUUGCCCUUAAUAUGUAAUUUAGAUUUUAUUUUUUAUUUUUUUGCAUUUAAUUUGGUUUUGUGGUUGUUUUCCUUUGAAUGGAUGUCAUUGAAACAAAAGCUAUUUGUGCAAAGAAUUGAUUUUUAAAGAA